UGAACGUCUUCUGCGAGCUUCCUCUUCAUUCCCAUUUCACCGAAGAGCCAAACUGAGGUCAGUUUAGGCCAGCAAGUGACCUGCCCGAGGGCGACUCGGUGGUGGCAGGGAUUAAAUUGGCGAUAUACAGAGAACCCUGAGCACGGUACCUGACGCACCGCAAACAUUCAAUAAACAGUAGCUUUUUAAAAAGAUCUUCAAUUGUCCUGGUCGAACCCUGAGAGUACUGCGCAGUCGUUAGCUCACUAACCACUAGCGACUGGUGUGCAGGGAGUCUGUCUGAUUGCUCCACGACAAGCAGGCCCACGUAUCCCGUGAUUGAUGCCAUCUCAGAACCACAGGCAAAGCCUAAGCUCAUAGAGGAGCCAGAAAAAAAGCCAAGCCACCGCCUGGAUGGAGAUCGCUUCCUGAGGCCCAGCAGAUUUCUGCAGGAAGCCAGGCUAAGCUGGCAUCCUGCUCUCUGCCGUGGCCCGGCCGCGCUCACUGUCUGGCCCAUCCCGCAAUGAUCCAUAGUCGUGGGCCUUUCCCAAGCCUCUGAGGCCUGCCGGGCUCGGCCUUCAGCCAUCUCGUCUCGAGGAGCUGUGUCUCUCAUUAACAACCUCCCCAGAUGAAGGAGAAACAGACUAGAGGCUAAAGAACCGUGCAGGUGUUUUGAACUUAUAGAAAGGUAAGAGUGUCCCCUUGCUGCCACCUCCGUGUGUCCUUGUUCCUUAUGCCCCCCCAAAGAACUCAAAUCCAUCCCAGUUCGCUGCAGUCAGAAUGAAUUCAGCUCUCUCUGAGCUUCUUUAACUUUGUGGUAAAAAUGAUGUGUCUGCUAAACGUCCGCCAUCUCCCCCAUUAGGCUCUAGGCUUCUAGGAGACCGGAUGCAGGUCACAGGCACCCUGUCCCCUCCCGGCAUCGACUCUACAGCCCACACUCAAACGGCGUUUGAAAAGAUAAUUUUAAUAGGAAAGCAUGGAGGAAAGCAGGCAGGCGAACCUAUUCCGUGGCCCAGGCUGAGAAUAUUGGGUUUGACUAUGAUCACAGAGGAUUACAAGAAUUAAUUUUAUUUUAUCUAAUAUUCUUAGACUUAGGGCCUCUGGAAUUCAGCAUGCAAAUGUAUGCUCCUAGUGCAAAUUGGAGCAUGCCCAGAUUAAUGGAGAAAAUUCUAGCCGCCUCACUUUUUGCAGAAUCCCAUUUCCCUCACCUGGGAUCACCCGUUUGUUUGCAAUGCACUGAGAAGUGGAUUGCAAUAGAGGAAGGAACGCUGGGUGGACGCAUCUGCCCGGGGUCUCUUUGGUGCUAGACGGGUCGAAGACCGAUGCUAAGCUCGGGACGGCACCCCUCCAAGGAACGUGGGGUCCUCUGAACAGGACCCACGGGAGAGCUAAACUGCUGAUCUGGUCCCAGGGCGGUCCUCCUUGGUAUGCAGAUCACUUCACAUGUAUGACAUUAGUUUGUUCUGUCCUCACGCUCCCGGAUUUAAUGAGAUUCUUUGGGCAUUGUUAAUAAACAAUGCCUGACCUUUC